GGAAUCUUGCGCAAUGGGCGAAAGCCUGACGCAGCCAUGCCGCGUGGAUGAUGAAGGUCUUAGGAUUGUAAAAUCCUUUCAGCGGGGACGAUAAUGACGGUACCCGCAGAAGAAGCCCCGGCUAACUUCGUGCCAGCAGCCGCGGUAAUACGAAGGGGGCUAGCGUUGCUCGGAAUUACUGGGCGUAAAGGGCGCGUAGGCGGACAGUUCAGUCGGGGGUGAAAGCCCGGGGCUCAACCUCGGAAUUGCCUUCGAUCCUGGCUGUCUUGAGUAUGAGAGAGGUGUGUGGAACUCCGAGUGUAGAGGUGAAAUUCGUAGAUAUUCGGAAGAACACCAGUGGCGAAGGCGACACACUGGCUCAUUACCGACGCUGAGGCGCGAAAGCGUGGGGAGCAACC
rnacentral:rRNA from 1 species